rnacentral:rRNA from 1 species
GACGAACGCUGGCGGCGUGCUUAACACAUGCAAGUCGAACGAAGAGCGAUGGAAGCUUGCUUCUCUCAAUCUUAGUGGCGAACGGGUGAGUAACGCGUAAUCAACCUGCCCUUCAGAGGGGGACAACAGUUGGAAACGACUGCUAAUACCGCAUACGAUCUAAUCUCGGCAUCGAGGAUAGAUGAAAGGUGGCCUCUACAUGUAAGCUAUCACUGAAGGAGGGGAUUGCGUCUGAUUAGCUAGUUGGAGGGGUAACGGCCCACCAAGGCGAUGAUCAGUAGCCGGUCUGAGAGGAUGAACGGCCACAUUGGGACUGAGACACGGCCCAGACUCCUACGGGAGGCAGCAGUGGGGAAUCUUCCGCAAUGGACGAAAGUCUGACGGAGCAACGCCGCGUGAGGGAUGACGGCCUUCGGGUUGUAAAGCUCUGUUAAUCGGGACGAAAGGCCUUCUUGCGAAUAGUGAGAAGGAUUGACGGUACCGGAAUAGAAAGCCACGGCUAACUACGUG